rnacentral:rRNA from 1 species
UACGUAGGGUGCAAGCGUUGCCCGGAUUUAUUGGGCGUAAAGAGCUCGUAGGCGGUUCGGUAAGUCGGAUGUGAAAUCCCCACGCUCAACGUGGAGGGGCCAUUCGAUACUGCCGUGACUCGAGUCCGGUAGGGGAGUGUGGAAUUCCCGGUGUAGCGGUGAAAUGCGCAGAGAUCGGGAGGAACACCCGUAGCGAAGGCGGCACUCUGGGCCGGUACUGACGCUGAGGAGCGAAAGCGUGGGGAGCGAACAGG